UGGGGUAUAGUGUAAUGGUAGCACGAUUGAUUCUGGUUCAAUCUGUCCGGGUUCGAAUCCUGGUACCCCAG
rnacentral:tRNA from 1 species